CGGGGUGCACCAGGCGCGAAAACUUUACAAUGCUGGCAACAGCGAUAAGGGGACCUCGAGUGCCAGGAUACAAUCUUGGCUGUCGCGAUGCCUAAAAAGCAUUGCAUAGCAAGGGCCGGGCAAGACCGGUGCCAGCCGCCGCGGUAACACCGGCGGCUCGAGUGGUAACCGUUAUUAUUGGGUCUAAAGGGUCUGUAGCCGGCCGGAUAAGUCUCUUGGGAAAUCCAGCAGCUCAACUGUUGGGCUUUCAGGAGAUACUGUCUGGCUCGAGGCCGGGAGAGGUGAGAGGUACUUCAGGGGUAGGGGUGAAAUCUUGUAAUCCUUGAAGGACCACCAGUGGCGAAGGCGUCUCACCAGAACGGACCUGACGGCAAGGGACGAAAGCUAGGGGCACGAACCGGAUUAGAUACCCGGGUAGUCCUAGCCGUAAACGAUACUCGCUAGGUGUCGGCCACGGUGCGACCGUUGUCGGUGCCGUAGGGAAGCCGUGAAGCGAGCCACCUGGGAAGUACGGCCGCAAGGCUGAAACUUAAAGGAAUCGGCGGGCAGCACAAG
rnacentral:rRNA from 1 species